GGGUCGCUAGCUCAAUAGGUAGAGCACCUGCCUUUUAAGCAGGGGGUCGUGGGUUCGAUUCCCACGCGACCCA
rnacentral:tRNA from 1 species